AGGGCUGGACCGGAAGUGGCUCUGGCUGUGCGCGCGUGUGUGUGCGGGUGUGUGUGUGCGCGUGUCCGUGUGCGCGUGUCCGUGUGUGCGCGUGUGCGUGUCCGUCCGUGUGUGUGUGUGAGGCGUCAGCCACGCUCCUUCCCUACACGUUGAUCUUAUUCGAUCGGCCGGGCUCCGCCGGGCCGAGGUGAGAAGAAAGCGCUGCGAAGCCCUCGGGCGCUGUGCGGCUGGGCCGGGCGGGAUGAGUCGAUCAGAUAGGCGAGGCCACGGCCGCUGAGCGCCCUGCGAUUCUGACCCGCGCCCACGUCUGCAGCCCCGGGGCCGACACCGGGCCGCUCCCGACAGCGGCGGAAGACGAAACGUCCCAGCCUCGUCCCGGCGGAGUCAGCCAGCCCAGAUGGGGAGGCGGGAAGUGCGUCCUGCCGCGGACUCCGUUGGCGCUUUGCCGGGCUCCGUGCUGGCCUUGCGGGGCCCGGCACGCUCCGUGCCGUGCUGGCAGUGGUUCAGCGGGCCCUGCGGCAAUGUGCCGCACAAAGACUGUACACGGGGCUGUGGUGGCACCGUGCCACGUGUGUGAGCUGGGCCCGGACCGUGCUGGUCCCGCGGGGCACCGGAGACUCGUUAGACCUACGAGCUUCAUGCACCACGGCCUCUGUUUUACUGGGGGUGUGUGGUGGUGGGGAUGGCCGUGGUGGUGACAAGAGGAUGGCCACAAGGGGGCGACCAUGGUGAAGACUGGGGGAUGGUCAUGGUAAUAAGAGGGAUAGCUAUGGUGCUGACGAAGCUCUGAUGGUAACCAGGGGACAGCCCCUGUGGAAACUGGAAAAGUACAGUUGUGCUGGUAACGAGAGGAUGGCCACGGUGAUAACAGGAGGACAGCUGUGGUGAUAGCAAGAGGAUGGCCGUGGUUGUGACAAGGGGACAGUAAGGGUAGGUGACCGAGGGGUGGCUACAGUGGUGACAAGAGGAUGAGCCUGAGAGGACAGCCACAGAGGUGAAAAGGGGAUGGCUGUCAUCAUGACAAGGCUGUGGUGGUGAUGAGGGGACAGCAGUGAUUCUGGUGUUACUGGGAGAAGCAACUGCGGUGGCUGCUAGUGGUGGCCAUGCUGUGGGGACACUCUAAGAGGAGUGCUUAAUGGUGCCUGGCAGGCUUCAUCUGCCAGGGUGACACUGUGGAUGCUGUGGGGCAUGGCCACCCCAUGCCACUGUCUCUAGCUGUGGCACAUGUAGGUGUGGGGUUGUCUCCAUGCUGCCAUAGGGACAGGCAUGUUUCCUUUCUGUGUCCCCUCUGCCUGUGGUACUUGCUGGCAUCCCUGUGUCACCACAGAUGAACAUGUGUCACUAGUGUCCGCCAACCCACAGAGUGACCUUGUGCCACCAGAUUUGGGACCUCUGGAUUGCCUUAGCAGCUCUGUCCCUCAUGUUCUCUUGUGACUGUGGUCCCCAUAUGCCCGUGUUCCCCAUCUCCCUGUGUGCUCCAUGUCCCUUGUGUUCCCAUGUUUUCUGAAUCCUUCAUGUACCCCUAUGUCCCCAAUCUCCCUGUGUUCCCAUAUCAGCUGUGUACUCAGUGUCCCUCUGUAGCCCCUUACCAGCUGUGUUCCUAUGUCCCUCAUGUUCAGAUCCCCCCUAUAUCCCGUGUCCCUCUGUGUCCUCCAUUUUCCCGUGUCCCCUGUAUCAGCUCUACCCAGUGUCCCUGAUGUUCCUGUGUCCCACGUGUUUCUAUAUCCCCUGUACCCCCUAUGUCCCUUGUGUCCUCCAUGCCCAGAAUAUACAGCCACAUGUGUCCCCUGUCCUGUCCCCCCUGCAGUGGGGCUGGCCCGGCUCCGUGGGGACAUGGCCUGAGGGGUACACGAGUGGCACCCAGUCUCCGGUGGGGUGGAGGUGGCUCCGGGGUGCGGGGGCUCAUGACUCCCCCUCGCCGUGUCCCGGUCCUCCCCCAGCCCGGGGCGGCGGAGGAGGGGCUGUUCCCGGGGGCGGGGAGGCGGGGGCAUGAGGCCCGGAGACGGUCCCGGUGCUGUUCCUGGAAUAGCAUUUCCAAAUCCGUUCGCAGGGAUAAGUUCCCGAUGCCGUUCCCAGAAACGCGUUCCGGGGAUUACGUUCCCAGUCCCGUUUCUGGGGAUGCACUCCCAAGGAUGAUGGGGUUCCCGGCGGCGUUCUCAUGGAUAACACUCCCGGUGCCGAUGCCCGGCGCCAAUCUCGGGAUACCAUUCCCGGGUAUAACCUUGGCCGUGCUGUUCCUGGGAGUUCCCUUCCCGUGUUUCUAUUCCCGACACCGAUGCGCGGUGCCAUUCCCAUGACUAGCAUUCUCGAUACCGAUUCCCGGUGCUGUUCUCAUGGCAAGCGUUCACGGAUGCGAUGCCAGUUGCCGUUCCAGGGGGGGUCUAUUCGUGAUCCACUGCCCGUUCCCGUUCCCUGGGGCGAUGCCCCCUGCCAUUCCCACCGUUCCCGGUGCCCGUUCUCGGAGGUGAUGCCCGGUGCCGUUCCCGGGGCUUCCUCUCCCAGUGUCUAUUCCCGUUCCCGGGAGCGAUGCCGGGUGCCAUUCCCAAGGGUUCUGUGCCCGAUGCCGUUCCCAGAGGUUCUGUUCCCGGUGCCUAUUCCUGUUCCCGGGGGCGGGGGCAGGUAGCGGCAGGUGCGCGGAGGCCGGGCCGUUGGCGGGGGCGGGGCAGCGGCGCCGGUGCUCGCACCGGCCGAGCUGCCGCCGUUGCCACCGCCGUUGCUGCCGCCAUGGCCGGUAGCGGAGCCCGGUGGAUGCCGCUGGCGCUGUGUCUGGCUGUCAUCUUGUCACCGGGACGCACCGGAGAGCAGCUACACGUCUGCAAGGAGUCCGAGUACCACUAUGAGUACACAGCAUGUGACAGCUCAGGAUCACGCUGGAGGGUGGCUGUACCCCACACACCUGGACUCUGCACUGGCCUGCCUGACCCUGUCAGGGGCACUGAAUGUUGUAAGAUUCCUGCCAGGAAUGGCAUGGGGUCAGGCUGGCAGGUGGCAAUGGCAGGGAUGGGAAAUGAGGCAUUCUCCUGCAAGGCGGGUGAGUUCCUGGAGAUGCAGACGCAGACGUGCCGGCCCUGCGCUGCAGGCACCUACUCGCUGGGCACUGGUGUCCGCUUCGAUGAGUGGGAUGAGGUGCCCCAUGGCUUUGCCAAUGUGGCCACCAACCUGGAGGUGGAUGAUGGCUUUGGCGAUGCGGCAGAGAACUGCACAGCGUCAACAUGGGUGCCACUGGGGGACUACGUGGCCUCCAACACAGAUGAGUGCACGGCCACCCUAAUGUAUGCUGUGAGCCUCAAGCAGUCGGGGACUGUCACCUUCGAAUACAUCUAUCCUGACAGCAGCAUCGUCUUUGAAUUCUUCGUGCAGAACGACCAGUGCCAGCCCACGGUGGAGGAGUCCCGCUGGAUGCGGACGACAGAGAAGGGCUGGGAAUUCCACAGCGUGGAGCUGAGCCGUGGGAACAACGUGCUGUACUGGCGGACCACCGCCUUCUCUGUCUGGUCCAAGGUGCCUAAACCAGUGCUGGUGAGGAACAUCGGCAUUACAGGGGUGGCCUUCACUUCCGAGUGCUUCCCCUGCAAGCCCGGCACCUUCGCCCCCGCGUCCGGCUCAACCGCCUGCCAGCUCUGUCCCGCCGACACUUUCUCUGGCAAAGGGGCCACCGCCUGCCAGCCCUGCGACUCUGACACCUACGCUGAGCCCGGCUCGGGGUCCUGCAAGCCACGCCCGCCCUGCACAGACAAGGAUUUCUUCUACACCCACACGGCCUGCGACGCCAGUGGGGAGACCCAGCUGAUGUACAAGUGGGCAGAGCCCAAGAUCUGCAGCGAGGAGCUGCCGCAGGCGGCCCGGCUGCCAUCCUCGGGGGUCAAGACCCAAUGCCCCCCCUGCAACCCUGGCUUCGCCAAAGGCAACAGUAGCACCUGCCAGCCCUGUCCCUAUGGCUUCUAUUCCAACGGCUCCGCCUGCCUCAGUUGCCCAGAGGGCACUGAGCCGGUGCUGGGCUUGGAGUACAAGUGGUGGAACGUGCUGCCCCCCAACAUGGAGACCACCGUGCUCAGCGGCAUCAACUUUGAGUACAAGGGCAUUGCAGGCUGGGAGGUAGCUGGGGACUACAUUUACACAGCAGCUGGAGCCUCUGACAGUGACUUCAUGAUCCUCACGCUGGUGGUCCCUGGCUUCAGCCCUCCAAGCCCAGUGCUGGAGGACACAGAGAGCAGGGAGGUGGCCAGGAUCACCUUUGUUUUCGAGACGCUGUGCAGUGUUGGCUGUGAGCUCUACUUUAUGGUGGGUGUCAACUCACACACCAACACUCCGGUGGAGACAUGGACAGGCUCCACGGGGAAACAAUCCUACACCUACCUGGUGGAGAAGAACGCGACCGUGAGCUUCACCUGGGCCUUCCAGCGAACCCCGUACCACGAGGCGGGCCGGCGGUUCACCAGUGAUGUGGCCAAGCUGUACAGCAUCAACGUCACCAAUGUGCAGGGGGGGGUGGCCUCCUUCUGCCGCCGCUGUGCCCCCCAGCCCACUGGGUCCUGUGCCCCGUGUUCCCCUGGCAGUGCUGUGGACCCCAGCUCAGGCACCUGCCAGCCUUGCCCACCUGGCACCUACCUGUGGGGCCACCCCUCCGACGGGACGCCCACCUGCCACCCCUGUGGCCCUGGCACACGCAGCAACCAGCUGCGAUCACUAUGCUACAACAACUGCAGCCUGGCACUGGCACUGCCAGGCCGGAUGCUGCACUUUGAGUUCCCAUCGCUGGGCCAAGGUGCCGGGGUGGGCACUGGGUCCAGCUUCACCCCCAAAGGACUGCGCUACAGCCAUCACUUCCACCUUAGCCUCUGUGGGCACCAGGGCAGGAAGAUGGCCUCAUGUGCUGACAAUGUGACAGCAGGUCUGGGGGGCCCUGCCCGUGUGGUCACCUCUUAUGUGUGCCAGGCCAUUCUGGUGCCCCCUGAUGUCACCGGAGCCCGCGCAGCUGUGUCUUCUCAGCCCAUCAGCCUGGGUGACCACUUGCUGGGUGUCACCACCAGCUCUGUGCUGGACGGCAUCGUGUCUCCCCCAGAGCUCUUCCCCCCCAGCCACCCUGACCUGCCUGACAUCAUCUUCUUCUUCAGGUCCAACGACAUGACACAGCCCUGCAGCAGUGGCCGGGCCACCACCAUCCGCCUGCGUUGUGACCCCCUGCGCAUUGGUACUGGCACUCUGGCUGUCCCCAGCAAAUGCCCCGAGGGCACCUGCGACGGCUGCACCUUUCAUUUCUUGUGGGUGACGGCCGAGGGAUGUCCCCGCUGCUCCAGCUCCCACCACCGUCCCAUUGUCGGCGCCUGUAUCGGCGGCGUUCAGAAAACCACCUACGUGUGGCAAGAGCCCCGGCUGUGCCACGGCGGAGACGCCCUACCGCCGCAGGUGAUCCAGGCAUGCCGGAGCGUGGAUUUUUGGCUAAAAGUGGGAAUUUCCACUGGGACGUGCGCGGCCGUCUUGCUGGCCGCGCUCGCCGCUUAUUUCUGGAAAAAGACUCAAAAGUUGGAAUACAAAUAUUCCAAGCUGGUGAUGGACGCGGCAGCCCGGGAGACCGACGCGACGUCGCCCGACAGCUGCGCCAUCAUGGAGGGGGAGGACGCGGAGGACGAGCUGCUCUUUGCCACCGAAAUGUCACUUUUUGGAAAACUCAAAGCCCUAACGGCCAAGCGGAUGCCGGAUGGAUUCGACUCGGUUCCGCUCAAGACCUCAUCCAGCAGCAUCGAUCGGGAGCUGUAAGAGGACAGGGGUCACCCUCACAUCCCCCAGCCCUCCCGGAAGCUGUGACGGGCCAGAGGGACACCCACGGACACCCCGCCCGCGGGCAGCUGUGAAGGGAACGGGGGUACCCACGGCCCAUCCCCCCGCGCCCCCAACGUGGCCUUAGGACCCGCUUCGGACCGGAGCCUCGUUAGGGGUUUUCCACAGUCGUGCCAUGGAGUGCUGCAGAGGGACAUGGAGCAGCUCUUGGGAGCCCAUGAGUAACUGGGGUGCGAGGUGUCCUCGGGCAGGAGAUCCGCAGAGCCCACCAGUAUGUCUGGUAUGUGGCUGAGGAACCCCAGGAAUCCUCGGGGUGCGAGGCCAGAACUGCGGAGACCCCUCUGGCGGGGGGGCUCAAGGAUGCUCGGACCGCUCGGGCCCCUCCAGACCCCGCCAUAUCCUCCCCAAACCCUCUCAACACUUCCCAAUACCCCUGUCCUCCCGCCCUGCCUGGGCCUCCCGACCCGCCGGAAGCCCCCUCG